GCCUGGAUGGCUCAGUCGGUUAAGUGUCUGACUUCGGCUCAGGUCAUGAUUUCACCGUUCAUGGGUUUGAGCCCCAUGUCAGGCU
rnacentral:tRNA from 1 species